UUCUGGGGGACCAGAGCCAGCCCCAGCCCCGUACUGCAGUCUCGGAUGAUGACUCAGCACACGUUGUUCAUUUUAAGAACAGAUUCACUGCAGAUUUGACGAAACUCAGAGAAGGUACCAAUGUGAGAUUUAUAAAGAUAGCUACCUCACUCUACCCAAGAUUCAAGAAUCUGAAGUGUCUUCCAAAAUCUGAUCAGGAUGGAGUGUGGAGCAUGCUUUCAGAAUCUUAAAAGAGCAACAAUCCAAUGUGGAAACUAUAGAACUUGAACCACCAACAAAGAAAAUCAACCUUCUGCUGGUGGCAUCUGACUCCGAUAAUGAAAAUGAACAUGCAUUGUCCACAGUGACUUUGGAUCGUGAUUGAGCAGAACCCGCCAUCAGCAUGGACACAUGGUGGUCGAAGCAUGAAAGGGGACAUAUGAAUGUUUAGUGAAUCUGACACAUAAAUAUCUUGGUAUAUAAACAAAUAAAUGGUAUUAUAUUAUGGUUUAACAGA